rnacentral:tRNA from 1 species
GGCGAGAUAGCUCAGUCGGUAGAGCAGUGGACCAAAAGUCCAUGUGUCGCCAGUUCGAUUCUAGCUCUCGGCACCA